rnacentral:rRNA from 1 species
UACGUAGGGUGCGAGCGUUGUCCGGAAUUAUUGGGCGUAAAGAGCUUGUAGGCGGUUUGUCGCGUCUGCCGUGAAAAUUCGAGGCUCAACCUCGAACUUGCGGUGGGUACGGGCAGACUAGAGUGUGGUAGGGGAGACUGGAAUUCCUGGUGUAGCGGUGAAAUGCGCAGAUAUCAGGAGGAACACCAGGUGGCGAAGGCGGGCUCACUGGGCCCGGUAACUGACGCUGAGGACGAAAGCUGGGGAGCAACAGG